rnacentral:rRNA from 1 species
ACGCUAGCUACAGGCUUAACACAUGCAAGUCGAGGGGAAACGGCAUUAAGUGCUUGCACUUUUUGGACGUCGACCGGCGCACGGGUGAGUAACGCGUAUCCAACCUUCCCAUGACUAAGGGAUAACCUGCCGAAAGGCAGACUAAUACCUUAUGGUCUUCACUGACGGCAUCAGAUGUGAAGUAAAGAUUUAUCGGUUAUGGAUGGGGAUGCGUCUAAUUAGCUUGUUGGCGGGGUAACGGCCCACCAAGGCAACGAUCAGUAGGGGUUCUGAGAGGAAGGUCCCCCACAUUGGAACUGAGACACGGUCCAAACUCCUACGGGAGGCAGCAGUGAGGAAUAUUGGUCAAUGGGCGAGAGCCUGAACCAGCCAAGUAGCGUGCAGGAUGACGGCCCUAUGGGUUGUAAACUGCUUUUGUAUGGGGAUAAAGUCAGUCACGUGUGAUUGUUUGCAGGUACCAUACGAAUAAGGACCGGCUAAUUCCGUGCCAGCAGCCGCGGUAAUACGGAAGGUCCGGGCGUUAUCCGGAUUUAUUGGGUUUAAAGGGAGCGUAGGCUGGAGAUUAAGUGUGUUGUGAAAUGUAGACGCUCAACGUCUGACUUGCAGCGCAUACUGGUUUCCUUGAGUACGCACAACGUUGGCGGAAUUCGUCGUGUAGCGGUGAAAUGCUUAGAUAUGACGAAGAACUCCGAUUGCGAAGGCAGCUGACGGGAGCGCAACUGACGCUGAAGCUCGAAGGUGCGGGUAUCGAACAGGAUUAGAUACCCUGGUAGUCCGCACAGUAAACGAUGGAUGCCCGCUGUUGGUACCUGGUAUCAGCGGCUAAGCGAAAGCAUUAAGCAUCCCACCUGGGGAGUACGCCGGCAACGGUGAAACUCAAAGGAAUUGACGGGGGCCCGCACAAGCGGAGG